AUCUUGACCUCAGAUCAGGCAAGGCUACCCGCUGAAUUUAAGCAUAUUAAUAAGCGGAGGAAAAGAAACUAACAAGGAUUCCCCCAGUAACGGCGAGUGAAGCGGGAAUAGCUCAAAUUUGAAAUCUCCGACGCUUGCGUCGGCGAGUUGUAAUUGCGAGAAGCACUUUCUAGGCGGAUCGGUCGUGCCUAAGUUGCUUGGAACAGUACGUCAUAGAGGGUGACAACCCCGUCUGUGGCGCGGCCGGCCGCUCACGAUGUGCUUUCGAA
rnacentral:rRNA from 1 species